rnacentral:lncRNA from 1 species
GUCAUUAGGCAACUAGACAAGGAUGAUGUGAUAAAAGGAGUAAAUUCUAUUUAUGCUUUGUUAAACUUCUCAUGAUAUGCAUAUAAUACAAGUUUUCCUCUCUAUCAUCCAGCUGCAAGCAAAGAGAGGUUUUCUGAAAAGUUCAGAAUCGAGCACAAGGAAUUAAUGUUCCUAUUGAACCUCUCAUGUAGCUAAACCCUCACCACAUUUUCAAAAUCUCGCAUAAAAGAGGCGUACAACAAGGACAGCUAGGCGACGAAAGAAAUUUUUAUGUGAUCAAGGGGGAGGAGAGUAUUGUCACCCCACGAACGGAUCAUGUGAUAUGAAGACACUAUGCAUUAAACUGAGAAGGCAUUGAAACUUCCUUCCCUCGAAGGAAAGUGAUGACAUUUUGUUAUCCUUAUAGUGAAUCGGUGAUUGAUUUGACUCUAUCGUCCAAUCAAUGAUAGAAUAAGGAAGUGACAGUAGCACGUGGCAUUUUGAUAUUUGAGGAUCUCCACCGCCAGCCAGAGGUAAUCAUUUUAGCAAAGAAAAAAUCACCAAAAAAAGGACUUGAAAUAAAGGAAUUUCGCUCAAUUGAUGAAGUUAGUUCACCAAAGAAAGAUUAAGGAAAACCACGAAUUUUCUAUCAAUUAUCACCCUGCCAAGAUUGUGAAAAGUUCCGUGGGAUUUUGAAAGCAUGGGCUAUUUUAGAAGACAACUCUCCAAUGAACACAUGGUUUAUCUAGAAAUGUUUGCAAAUCUUUUAGAUUCUAGUCAAAUUCUGGAAUUUCAAAUACAUUUAUACUUUGAGUCUUGAACCAUGAAUUUCCUAUCAUAAAAUCUUGAACUAUAUGUUGCUUAUGAUAUCUCAUAUAUUUUUAAUUUGUGAAAUAGUACUUUUAUGAAUUAUGAUAUGAUAAAAUGAUUUUUUACCUUAUAUAAUGAAAAUACUUUAUCCCCACAGUGUGAUUUGGAUAAAAUGCCCUAUUCUUGCUAUGUGAUCUAUAAGAUGUCUCAUAAUUGAUACGUGAUCUAGUAUGGAAUAAAAGUUGCUUGUUGUUUGAUCUAACAUUGGUGGACAUACCUUGUAUUAUAGUUAUAAUAAGAUAUCAAUUUUGAUCUAACAUUGGUGGACGUACCUUGUUUGAUCUAACAAUGAUACCAAUUCCCUGUUUUCGACCAUAAAUUACCCAGAAAACCUAUUAUUUUGCUUAUACUUGGACAAGCAAUAUGAAAACUUGUAUUCAACAAGGACUUAGUAAGAAUGCGAUGAAGAGAGACACAGUGAGCAUCUUACAUGGAAUGAUCAUGACCAAUGACUCACUGAAUAGAGUUAGAUAUAGACAUACACAACACUGCACAAUAGAUUCAAAUCUAUCACACCACGGGGUCCCUUGUUCAAGACUUAGAUUCAGUCUUUAAGGGAACAACCUAUCUACUGACCUUAAAGCGGGUAGGAGAAAAUUUCAUCUUGCACUCUAUGUCCCUAUCCAUCCAUCUGGUCUUGCCCUUGAAAUGGGAGGCUCAUUAGCCUAACGGUAUUGAGCUACCCUCACUAAUGCAGAUCUAAGGAUAAUUCCCUAUGAACAGAAGUUCAUAGUUAACUCAGGAAUAAGAUUAAGUUACCUAUGUCAUCAAUAAUCGAAAUAGUCAAUUUUAUAUAGUCGACGAUGUUAUAACUUGAAAGUGAUCAUUUCAUGAUUCCAAUCUUAUGUAAACUGUUUACAUAUGAUGCCCCCAAGUUCCAUGUCUCUAUAUGAAUUAUUCAGAAUCACAUCGUUGAUACUAACUACAAAGCAUACCGCAUCUAUAGCGUGCUCGGAAUAAAGCGCUCACUCUUAUUCAUACACUAUAUAUCGUUUGGGUUAUAUACUCAAACUUAGUCCAUGUUUAUGUCUCUACAUAAAGUUCAAGUCUACACUAGUUAACUUCGAAACCUUAGUUUACUGUCUUCAAGAUUAUAGUAUUCAAUUUUCAUUAAUAAGUCUUCAAUAGCCACUUUAUUGAAUAUAAUAUAAUUUUAAACUAAUAACUAUGAGUUUUAGAACAUAAAUUCCAACAAUAAAUACAAAGGCUACCUCCUCAGAACAAAGUGUGCGAGAAUCUGAAGAACAAGUUCAACUUCAUCCCAUACCUCCCUUCUAUGUUUUUGGUGAGCUUUAAGAAUAGUUGAGAGGAAUCCAUACCCCACUCUCCCUUCAAUGUAAUAGGCAAAAAUUGGAGCUACUACACAGAGGUUCGACCUCUUUGUUUAUACUUUCACUUUUAUCUUCUUUUUAUUUUGUAUUUGUAAUUUGAACCCCUUGACCAAAAGGCCUAAAUUUUUAUUAUAAAUGUCAAUUACUACUACUUUCAUUUUCCCAUUUUUUUUAUCUCUUCA